AUGAACGCUAGCGGGAGGCCUAACACAUGCCAGCCGAGCGGUAGAGUCUCUUCGGAGACUUGAGAGCGGCGCACGGGUGCGGAACGCGUGUGCAACCUGCCUUUAUCUGGGGGAUAGCCUUUCGAAGGGAAGAUUAAUACCCCAUAAUAUACUGGAUGGCAUCAUCUGGUAUUGAAAACUCCGGUGGAUAGAGAUGGGCACGCGCAAGAUUAGAUAGUUGGUGAGGUAACGGCUCACCAAGUCAGCGAUCUUUAGGGGGCCUGAGAGGGUGAUCCCCCACACUGGUACUGAGACACGGACCAGACUCCUACGGGAGGCAGCAGUGAGGAAUAUUGGACAAUGGGUGAGAGCCUGAUCCAGCCAUCCCGCGUGAAGGACGACGGCCCUAUGGGUUGUAAACUUCUUUUGUAUAGGGAUAAACCUAGAUACGUGUAUCUAGCUGAAGGUACUAUACGAAUAAGCACCGGCUAACUCCGUG
rnacentral:rRNA from 1 species